rnacentral:tRNA from 1 species
GCCCCGGUAGCUCAGUCAGGAUAGAGCAGCAGUUUCCUAAACUGUUGGUCGGCGGUUCAAGUCCGCCCCGGGGUA